ensembl:lncRNA
AAAAAAAAAAGGAAAAAGCCUUACAAAAAUGUCAAUUUAUCAGACUGCCAAGGGAUAAAACCUUGUCAUAUAUCUUUCAUGCACUACAUACAGGCUUCUGUAGCCUCUUCCUCCCUUCCUCGGAUCUCCAAGCUGUUUGCAAACAUAAAUGAAUGAAACCCCUCACCUCCCAUGAAGUAGGUGAUUUGUUUCUAUUAAUACAUAAAUGAAAGAGGAAAUUAAUUAAGGAGCAGAAAGAGCAAGAAGCCCAAGAUCACACAGGGAGAGCACUGUAAUCACUACGUUCUGUCCACUUAAGAGUAGCACUUACACGUUAAUGCCUUCCUGCUCUCCAUCAAGCUCUUGCAAUGAACCGUGCUUCCCAGACUCCUCCAGUCCCAGCUAGCUUCGUGGCUUGGUUUCCCUUCAGGGACGUGGAGUUUUUCCUUCACAUUCACACCAUCGCACCUCUGCCCCCACAUUUAAUUAUUAUUUAUGUUGAAUAUAAAUAGCAAAGGAGAUGAUCCUAAGAUGAAUAAUGAAGAAGCAACAAGAGACAAGAAAACUGCUCGCGUCAGCUGGUAUCCUACCUGCUUUGUAUUAAAUACAUCUCAGCACUGGGUCUCUGCAUACCAGAGGAGGAAGGCCACGGAAAGCAAAGAGAAGACCAACCAGAAGUCUACAACCCUCACAGAGAACAAACGGCACCCGUGUCCCUCAAACAGUACAGUAUUGUGCAGCCGACAUGAAGCUUACUAGCACAGAUAUUUGGCAAUGGAGAAGCCUGAUGGUUUUUUGACCACAGCUGGAUGAGGAUGAGCUCUGAUCACCCAGUCUGACUCCCAGGACUGAGCUAUUCCACCAGGUCCCAGCCUGCUCAAAGAAGCCUUGAUUUAAAGUUUCUCAAAGCAGCAAAUCCAAUGGGACUCAAAGACUUUGUAAGGAUAAACCACCCUCCCCCUUCACAUCUCCCCACAAAAAGGUCAUUACUCUUUUGGCUCUUCUCUCUCAUUACAAAAACAAAGCAACUGAGCUUUGUUUUGAGCAACAAACCAAGUAAUACCUUGCUGUACAAAUAUUUCAUUUUCAGCAGAAAAAUUUUUUCAGUGUAUUUAUGAAGAAAGCAUUCUUGCUGUAACAGAACACCAUGUUCUGGCAGAGACGUCCCAGGCACAACUGAGAAAGCCAUCUCCCUGAUGAGGGAUCAGAAGAUCAAAGUUGUGUUUUAUUAGUUAUAUAAAAAGUAUCUUUAGCUCUCCGUUGAAAGGAAAAAUUUGCAUUUAAAUAGAAAGAUUAAUAACUGUAAUACACAGAGCCCACACUGAAUAAUUUUUUGUAACAUAAAAUAAUUCAUAUUGUUUUAUAUAAACUGUGCACCUUAAGUCAAG